rnacentral:rRNA from 1 species
GAGGAAUGUAUAUCGACUCUGUCGAAUAAAGUUCUAGUUAAGUUAUGAUAAUGACAUUUCUUAACUAUGUGUCUUGACCAAAUCACGUGCCAGCAGUCGCGGUAAUACGUGGAAGACUAGUGUUAUUCAUCUUUAACAGGUUUAAAGGGUACCUAGACGGUAAAUCAAGCCCCGAAAGGGUACUAAUUUACUAGAGUUUAAUAAGAGAGGGGGAGUACUGAUGAGUGGAGAGAUGAAAUUUUAUGAUACCAUUAGGAACAGACAAAGGCGAAAGCGACCUUUUACAUAAAAACUGACGUUGAGGGACGAAGGCUUUAGUCGUGAACAGGAUUAGAUACCCAAGUAAUUAAAGCAGACAAUGAUGAAUGUCAUAGAUUAGUAAGCACUUAAAGCAAUUACUAUUAAUCUAUAAAUGAAAGUGUAAGCAUUCCACCUCAAGAGUAAUGUGGCAACGCAGAAACUGAAAUCAUUAGACCGUUUCUGAAACCAGUAGUGAAGUAUGUUGUUUAAUUAGAUAAUCCGCAAAAGACCUCACCACAAUUUGUAUAUUAUUAUUUUUUAAUAAUACAAGCGUUGCACGGCUGUCUUCAGUUAAUGUCGUGAGAUUAGGUUAGUUCCAUUAAAUUAACGUAAACCCUUGCUUUAUUUAUAUUAUAAAGUAGAUCACCGCUAUAUUGGAUGUGAUAAUAGGGACUAAGACAAGUCAUCAUGGCCUGAAUAUUGUGGGCGAUAGACGUGCCACAUAAUCGGAGACAAAGGGAUGCAAAAUUGUG